UGAGAAGUUUAUUAGAGAGCCAUUAAGACCACACUAAAGAUCUGGAUCAAUGAAGGGGAAGAGGGAAGACAAAAAUAUCAAGAUUCUAGAAUGACAAGGUUACUGCAGUCAUGUCACAGUAGACAGCAUGCAACAGACAGUGCUGCACCCAAAACCUGCUUCCUGGCUAUUCGACCAAGCAACAAAAGGUUGUAUGUUAUGUGAAACUAUCCUGAAGAUGGCAUCUUCCAGUGGUUCUGAGGCCCCCUGCAAGCCCCAAUAUGUUGGUUGGAAAGACAAGGUUCUAAAAAUGACAAAUUUAAUAUGUAAGUGUACAACACAAUUA